AACGAACGCUGGCGGCAGGCCUAACACAUGCAAGUCGAACGAAGUCUUCGGACUUAGUGGCGCACGGGUGAGUAACACGUGGGAAUAUACCUUACGCUGGGGGAUAACAUCGGGAAACUGAUGCUAGUACCGCAUACGCCCUUCGGGGGAAAGAUUUAUCGGCGAAAGAUUAGCCCGCGUCCGAUUAGCUAGUUGGUGAGGUAAUGGCUCACCAAGGCUCCGAUCGGUAGCUGGUCUGAGAGGAUGACCAGCCACACUGGGACUGAGACACGGCCCAGACUCCUACGGGAGGCAGCAGUGGGGAAUAUUGGACAAUGGGCGCAAGCCUGAUCCAGCCAUGCCGCGUGAGUGAUGAAGGCCUUAGGGUUGUAAAGCUCUUUCACCCACGACGAUGAUGACGGUAGUGGGAGAAGAAGCCCCGGCUAACUUCGU
rnacentral:rRNA from 1 species